CUAAAGAGAAGAAAAUCAUGAAGGGGAGAAAAUAAUGGGUACAAUACAUUUCCUGUGGUGGAGAAAAAGGUGUUGAAAAUAUUUCAAAAAAUUCAUAUAACAAAUAUGUGUUGAGUGCCUUCCCUAUACCAGUCAUCAUUGUCCUAGGUGCCAUGAAGUGGUGAAUAAGACAAAAGCCUGCCCUCAGGGGCUUAGAUUUUAGUGGAGACGUUGGGGAGACAGAUUAUAAAUACACAAAUGAAUUAUAUAACUUCAGUUCAUGAUGAUGGGAUAGAGUGAAUAGGGGAGGUGAAGACAGGCAGGAGGUUAAGAGUGGCCUCUCUGAGAUGACAUUUAGGCUGAGCUUUAAAUCAUGAAGAGGCAUGGGAAGAUGGGGGUGGCAGAAGUGCUCUAGCAGGAGGGAGGAGUUAGGUGCACAGGCCCUAAGCAAGGGCAAAUAACAGAGAAGGCUGAUGUGGCUGUAGCAUGAGAAUGAAGAGAAGGAGAGAGUGGAAGGAGAUAAGGUCAAAGAGAUAGGAAAGGGCUUCAGGAAGAAGACUGGAUAGCCAGUGGCAAUAGGAAGCCUUUGGAGAUGUUUACAUGGAGGUUCUGCCAGCAGAGAGGGGAGAGGAAGAGAAGAGGAGAAGCAGCUAGACAUUGGAGACUAUGGUUUGACGUCAAAGAGAAGCAGCUUGACUUCAGAGGGAUGGUUUGAUGGUGUCGCUUUGGAAAGCCGGACUCCAGGGGAAGAUCAUCUUCCUGCUCCAUCCCCUUCUCAGCUCCCCUUCCCACUGAGAGCCACUUUCAUCAGCAAUAAAAUCUUCUGCAUUCAUCACCUUUCAAUUCAGCCGUGCGACCUGAUUUUUCCAGAUGCCAAAAAAGAGCUUGGACACCAAGCGUGUGGAUGCAAAAGGCUGUCACACUGACCCUCCACUGAGCUAUUAACACUUAAG
rnacentral:lncRNA from 10 species